rnacentral:rRNA from 1 species
UACGAAGGGGGCUAGCGUUGCUCGGAAUCACUGGGCGUAAAGCGCGCGUAGGCGGAUUGCUAAGUCAGGGGUGAAAUCCUGGAGCUCAACUCUAGAACUGCCUUUGAUACUGGCAAUCUCGAGUCCGGGAGAGGUGAGUGGAACUGCGAGUGUAGAGGUGAAAUUCGUAGAUAUUCGCAAGAACACCAGUGGCGAAGGCGGCUCACUGGCCCGGUACUGACGCUGAGGUGCGAAAGCGUGGGGAGAAAACAGG